UUUCAACUUCCAUAUUACGACAGACCUUCUACGUUCUUGGAAUUUAUGAUACAAUUAUACUCAAAGUAUUAUAUUUGUGUAAUUAUUUUAUGUAGAGAACGGCCAUUGCGAUCGUGGUCUUCCUACUUGAUUUUAUUUGCUUGUAAAAAAAUCCCAACAUUGUACUGUUUACUCGCAUGAAGGCGGCCAACCUACCCGUUUUAUUUUUAAAUCAUGUUCGGUAUGUCAUUUUAACGACAUUAUAUAUAAUAUAUUUUCAAUUUUAAUUCAAAAGAGAAGUAAGAAGUAAACACCAGUUUUCUGGGUUCAUCCUUUAGUUUGAAUUGUUUCGCUGGCAAAUGGGUAAAGCUUUCUCUUACUCCACUGUUGGUUGUUCUUUGUUAAAAAAAAAUUUGAUGAGUUUAGAAUAAACUUGUUGAUUUCUGAAAACAAAAGAAUUUAAUACCAACAACUAUGUGCAAGGAUCAGUCUUUCGUAUCCUAGUUUUGAAGGCUCCGUUGUUGAAAAUUUCAUAAACAAUCGUUGAAGGGUUUCGGAAUGCACGAGGAAGGAAUGUUAAUCCAAUAGCGUUAUUACAUUGCUAAGCUGUACAAUAUCCCCUAUGUUCUCGUACUUAUUUAACCAAAAAAAGUUCUUUCAUGAAAACUAAUAUCUUAUUAAUGAAGUACUCACUCCAAGAAAAAAGAUAGUCUGCGUAGCUAAGCAUGCUGCAAACUAUUUUUUUUAUUGAUACGAAUUGUUUUCAAAAAGCUCAUAACCUAUUGGCGAGCUCUACCAUAAUGUUAAAAUAUUUGCGAAAAUCACAUAGAAAGUAAUAAAAAUGCUUUGGCAGAGAUAGAUACAUUGAAACUUCAAUGCAGGAGGAUCUUAAUUUGAAUUUCAUGUUUUUUUGGGAAAAAACCAACAGCUCCUUGAAACGAGACGAGAAGAAGCCUUGAGGUUUGAAAAUGAUAACCCUUUAAUGAUAAUGAGUUGAAUUGUUUAUAUACAAAUUGAUUUUUCAGGAAAUUCAGAAUCACUGGCGAAGGCGACUCCUUUUUCCAAAUCAAAGUUGAAUUCGGGCUCUGUCCUUUCAGAGGGACGGAUGCUAAUUAUGUUGUUGAACAUUAAUAAGCAUCCACACAGUUGAAAGAUACUGUAAACGUUGGAUGCGGCGACAAUUAUAAAGAAAAACUUUUGCGUGUUGAGGCUGCAAGAGAUAACGUUUCGUGCAUUCAGGAUUUCGCAUAACAUAUAUGGGUUCAUUGAGAAAUAGAUUAUAGUGCAGGACCUUAAGCACAUACUGAAGAAGGCAUCAAUCGUGGACCAGAGGAGUACGAGAUGCUCCCAAGAUAAUUUUUUCUUUACAUUAGUUAAUUUUAAACUUGCAUUCAAUCAUUUGAUGAUUCUUACCUUCCAAGCAAAGAAAAUGCCAAUGGCUCCAAAGAGCAUGGUUUCGAUUCCCCAUAUCAUUACAUUUUUCCAUCCUUUAAGCAGGCAAUAGAGUAAUGAGAGGUUCAUGCCGACAAUGGCAGCAAAGAUAAAUAAACAUGGCAAUUUAAUAUAUUCAAUUGACUUUACGAAUUUGCCGAUUUCACUUAUGCACGACAUUUUUUUUUCUUAAUUAUUUAAACUGGUUUUUUUUUGGGUUAUUGUAAUAUGUUAAUGCUCAGUUUAGUUUAGCUUGCUCUCAAUAUAUAAGUAAUUAAAAUGUAAACAAAUUUCCAUCUAAACAAAGGCACGAA